GGACACGUGAACCCCUGGGCAGCGAAUGCAGGAGGCGGGGGCUGUGCCUCUGGACGCUGCAGCUGGGCUGGAGCCCUCUCCCUGCCACCAUGGAAACAGCAAUAUCAGAAAGCACAGUCCUGGUUAGCGGCGUGCUCGUGCCAUGUGCCUGUCAGUUCUGCAAGCAUUUGUUGGAUGUGAAGGUUGGUGUGAUGACCACGCUGCCCACAACAGGCAAAAGGGUGCGGACAGCUGAGGCUCCUCACUUCCCGCUCCAAAGCUCAGAACCUCCCUUCCCUCCUGGAUCCAACAGAAGCAGCGGCCGCUGCUGCCUGUGCCUCUCAAACUUGUCACCCACGGAUGCUGGGAAAAAUGCACAUAAAAGGGUCCUGUCUUUGUGAUGUCAGCGUGAAGUGGAAUUCGCAGAAUGGCUAAAGUGGAGGGAAGACUUAAAAUGCAUUGGAUGAUGAUAGCAGCGUCAUUUACAAUCACCACGACUUGGAAGCAGCCGAGAUGUCCUUUGGCAGAUGAUUGGAGAAAUGAACUGUGGCACGUCCAUGCAGACCAUGAAAUACUAUUCAGUGCUAAAAAUGAGUGAGCUUUCCAUCCAUGAAAAGACAUAGAGAAACCUGAAAUGCAGAUCACAAAGUGAAAGGCCAAUCUGGAAAGGCUACACACCCUAUGACUCCAACCUGUGACAUUCCCAAAGAGGGAUUUUUCCAAAGAGGAAAAAUUAUGGGGACAGUAAAAAGAGGAGCUGCCAUCAUUAGGGAAGCAGGAGUUGAGGAGAGUCAGAGUGACACCACUGAAAAAUCUUCUCUGUCUUGAGACUAACAAGGUACCUUCCUUGCCAGUCACAACCCAUGGUCCUAAGAUGGUCACAGCUAAGGAGGCAGCUUGGUACUGCCUGCAAGGACAAACUCCUAAAACAACAGAAAGCCCAGAUGUCCCAAUACCCAUAGCAAUAUGUGCUUUCAAGAUAAUUAUAGAUGUGCUUUGAUGUACUCAUGUACUAGACUGUUAAGGAUAGUUUUCUUUAAAUCAGUAGCAUAAUCAAUUUUGUCAUGCUGUCUGCUCCCCCUCACAGAGUCGCAGCUUGGUUUAGUCAUUACGUAGACAAGACCCCUAUAUAAGAAAAACUUAAAACAAAGACGGUGCAUUCUCUCGGAAGGUCCCGUGCUCUGUAAUGGAGUAGGUUUUAAUAAACGUGCUUCCUUCGCUGCA
rnacentral:lncRNA from 1 species